GAUGAACGCUGGCGGCGUGCCUAAUACAUGCAAGUCGAGCGAACGGACGAGAAGCUUGCUUCUCUGAUGUUAGCGGCGGACGGGUGAGUACACCGUGGUAAACCCACCAUUAAGACUGGGAUACUUUUGGGAAACCGGAGCUAUAUCCGGAAGAUUUUUUGAACCACAUGUUUAAAAAGUGAAAGAGGGCUUUGCUUCCCCUUAUCGAGGUGUCGAGGUCCCUUUAGACAGUUGGUAGGGUAAGUGCUUACCAAGGCAACGAUGCGUAGCCGACCUGAGAGGGUGGUCGGCCACACUGGAACUGAGACACGGUCCAGACUCCUAGGGGAGGCAGCAGUAGGGAAUCUUCCGCAAUGGGCGAAAGCCUGACGGAGCAACACCGCGUGAGUGAUGAAGGUCUUCGGAUCGUAAAACUCUGUUAUUAGGGAAGAACAUAUGUGUAAGUAACUGUGCACAUCUUGACGGUACCUAAUCAGAAAGCCACGGCUAACUACGUG
rnacentral:rRNA from 1 species